rnacentral:tRNA from 1 species
GUUAUCUUGGCAGAAUAGUGCGUUAGAUUUAGAAUCUUUUUAUGUAAUUUUUACAGAUAAUA